rnacentral:sRNA from 1 species
GCCGCGCCCAUGUCGAGGCGCAAUCGGCAAAAGAGGCGGCUCAAUUGCGAUUCGGUUGACAGGAUCAUAGAGGAAUACUAGAACAAAA